UAAUUUAUUACCUUCUCCCUAUCUAAGCUUGAAACGUUCUCCCCUAAAGUCAAUAACAUAGGCCUAAUUUCAAUAAACAUACCAAAUAUGUAAAAGUAUCAUAUUUUUUUUCUGCAAUCGGUAAAAGUCUGAUGGGGCAAUGCCAUGUUGUGCUAGAAGGCCUACGGGUCAUGAACUUCUUUUCCCAAAGAAGAAGCAACAUUGAUAUCCUGGGAAUAAACAUCGACUAACUUUAUGUCAGCAAUCAUGGUAAGACAAAGGAUGCAAGCGUUAUCCAGAAUGAUUGGACAUAAAGCGUCUGUAGGUGGCUUUCUAUGUUCGCGGACGAAUCCCAAAGCUCAACCCUGGACAAGCGAUGGAAACAACCAAGUUGGAGUAUGGUAGGGGCACGGGAAAUUUCCAAUGGAGCGUUGAAAUGCAUAUAAUUUUGAAAUAACACCAACGGCAAAAGCAUUUUGUUGGGUCGACACUGACAUUAAGAGAUGAAAGUUGUGGGAGUGAGUGGGAUUGGAUAUCCCAGUAGUCCUAGUCGUAAAUGAUAGAUGUUAGGCGUUGUGUGUAUCAGCCCAUGCAAUGUUGUAGUUAAUGCGUUAAAUAACCCGCUUAGGGAAUACGUUUGCAAGAAUAAAACUCAAAGGAAAUGACGGAGGCCCACACAAGUGGUGGAACAUGUCAUUUAAUUAGAUGUAAAGCGAAGAACCUUACCAGGCUUUGAAAUGUCAUGAAUCAUCUUGAAAGAGAGGGGUGCCUUCGAGAACACGGACACAUGUGGUACAUGGUUGUUGUCAGCUUAUGUUGUAAGGUGUUGAGUUAAGUUCCACAACGAGCAGAACCGUCGUUUUUAGUUGCUAAUACUGAGUUUGGAACCUUGAGCAGACUCUCGAUGACAAGCCGAAGGAAGGUGAGGAUGAUGUCAAGUCAUCAUGGCCCUUAUGCAUUGGGCGACACAUGUGCUACAAUGAUAGGGACAAAGGAUUACAAUCCUGAGAGGGUGAGCUAACUCCAAAAACUCGUCCUCAUUUUGGAUUUUAGGUUGCAAACGCCUGCAUGAAUCAGGAAUCAUUAGUAAUUGUCAAUCAAUCAUACAACGAUGAGUUCGUUCCUAGAUCCUUUACGCACCACUCAUCACACUAUGGGAGUUGGUCAUGCCCGAAGUCGAUACCCUAACCAAAAGGAAGAGGAUACCUAAGGCAAGGCUAGUGAUUGGAGUGAAGUCAUAUCAAGGUAGUUAUACUGGAAGGUACAGCUGGAUUACUUCCUUU
rfam:Lupinus angustifolius cultivar Tanjil chromosome LG10, whole genome shotgun sequence.